ACAAUAUAAAUUUUUAAUGAAAUAUAUUUUUAUUUCUUAAUAAAAUAUUAAUAAAAUAAAAAUUAUAAUAUAUUACCGAAGUAAACAACGACAACUAUAGGCAAUAUGAGCAUUCAAGGCCGCGAAACAAAGACUAUUACAAUCGGAAGAAUGUCGUCGAGCUUGUUCAAACGAUAAGUCAAAAAGAAGGGGAGAGUGAGAUAGAAAGAGAAACAGUGUGAGAAGCAGAGAAACAGAAAGAAAGAGACGAAAUAAAAGUGGUGAGAGAGGAAAAGCCGUGCGCGUAUCGAUGAUUCAAAUGUGAACAAGCAUGCAAGGGUCGACUAAUGGGUUAAACCAACAAGUGAGCAUUAUUACACGUGUCCCCUACGUGCAUCCGCCGGCUCUGGUGUUAAUAAAAUAUUCUCUUUGAUUUUAAUCGUUCACGUGUAUCUGCGUAUUAUGCGUCGAGCAAACAGAGAAUAUCGCCCGUUUAUUCAUUAUGUCUGGGAAUUAAGCAUAGAAAGAAAGCUCGAUUAACCUGGCUUAAGCAAAUGGUCUUUGUAUAUGAACUAAAUGAAAUAAACAGGAGUUUAUUA